ACGGGUGAGUAACGCGUAGGAAUCUGCCCGAUAGUGGGGGACAACGUCUCGAAAGGGACGCUAAUACCGCAUACGCCCUACGGGGGAAAGCAGGGGAUCUUCGGACCUUGCGCUAUCGGAUGAGCCUGCGUCGGAUUAGCUAGUUGGCGGGGUAAAGGCCCACCAAGGCGACGAUCCGUAGCUGGUCUGAGAGGAUGAUCAGCCACACCGGAACUGAGACACGGUCCGGACUCCUACGGGAGGCAGCAGUGGGGAAUAUUGGACAAUGGGGGCAACCCUGAUCCAGCCAUGCCGCGUGUGUGAAGAAGGCCUUCGGGUUGUAAAGCACUUUAAGGGGGGAGGAAGGUUCGCUGGCUAAUAUCCAGCGGAAUUGACGCUACCCCCAGAAUAAGCACCGGCUAACUCCGUGCCAGCAGCCGCGGUAAUACGGAGGGUGCAAGCGUUAAUCGGAAUUACUGGGCGUAAAGCGCGCGUAGGCGGUUUGAUAAGUCGAUUGUGAAAUCCCCGGGCUCAACCUGGGAAUUGCAGUCGAGACUGUCAGACUAGAGUGUGGGAGAGGGUGGUGGAAUUCCCGGUGUAGCGGUGAAAUGCGUA
rnacentral:rRNA from 1 species